CCGCCAUGGCACGACCCCCCCCACGCCUCUCUCCCCCCCCUCCCUCCUUUUCCAGCACCCCGAGGCCGGUGUGAAUGAGAGAACCGAGCGAACCCGAAGCUGCGCCCUACACCCACCCACCAACCCAGCCUCGCAUCGCAGAGGAAAUCCUCACCGUCACCCGGCUCUAUCACCGGGUGUGCGUGGGGGGGGGGGGGGGGGGGGGGGGAGGAGGAGGAGGAGGAGAGCAGCCCUCCCCUCGCACCCCGGCCCUCAGCACCAUGAUGUUUCGAGACCAGGUCGGCGUUCUGGCCGGCUGGUUUAAGGGCUGGAACGAAUGCGAGCAGACUGUUGCGCUGCUCUCGCUGCUCAAACGCGUGAGCCGGACCCAGGCGCGCUUCCUGCAGCUCUGCCUGGAGCACUCGCUGGCGGACUGCACCGAGCUGCACGUCCUCGAAGGGGAGGCCAACAACCCCGGAAUCAUUAACCAAUGGCAACAGGAAUCCAAGGAUAAAGUGAUAUCCCUAUUGUUAACCCACCUGCCUUUACUGAAGCCCGGAAACAUCGAAGCAAAAGUCGAAUACAUGAAACUCUUGCCUAAAAUCCUGGCCCACUCGAUUGAACACAACCAACACAUCGAGGAGAGCCGACAGCUGUUGUCCUACGCCUUGAUCCACCCGGCCACCUCGCUGGAGGACCGCAGCGCUUUGGCCAUGUGGCUCAACCACCUGGAGGACCGCACGUCGGGGACCUUUGGCAGCCAGGGCAGGGGCCGCUCGGACUCUGUGGACUACGGGCAGACUCACUACUAUCACCAAAGACAGAACUCCGAUGAUAAACUCAACGGAUGGCAAAACUCUCGAGACUCGGGCAUAAGCGUCAGCGCUUCCAGCUGGCAGGACAAAAACCUGGCCUGCGAGAACGGCCAUCUGCCCCUCUACUCCUCCUCCUCCGUCCCCACCACCAUCAACACCAUUGGCACUAGCACAAGCACCAUUCUCUCAGGCCAGACACACCACAGCCCUUUGAAACGCUCUGUGUCCCUUACCCCACCCAUGAAUGUGCCAAACCAGCCUCUAGGACAUGGAUGGAUGUCUCAUGAGGACUUACGAGCUAGAGGACCCCAGUGCAUCCCUUCCGAUCAUGCCCCCCUGUCUCCACAAAGCAGUGUAGCCUCUUCGGGAAGUGGUGGGAGUGAACAUUUAGAAGAUCAGCCUUCCGCUCGUAACACAUUCCAGGAGGAAGGGAGUGGUAUGAAAGAUGUUCCAGCCUGGCUGAAGAGUCUCCGGCUGCACAAGUACGCCGCUCUCUUCUCACAGAUGACGUACGAGGAGAUGAUGGCCCUCACUGAAUGCCAGCUCGAGGCACAAAACGUUACCAAAGGCGCAAGACACAAAAUAGUCAUCAGCAUCCAAAAGCUAAAAGAAAGACAGAACCUGCUCAAAUCAUUAGAAAGGGACAUCCUGGAAGGUGGCAACCUGCGUGUCCCGCUGCAGGAACUACACCAAAUGAUCCUCACCCCCAUCAAAGCCUACUCUUCCCAAAUCUCCAGCCCGGAGGAGCACAGCCGGGACACAGACUCACAUCACCCCCCCUCCCUGCUGGGCUCAGACAGCCAGGGCUCCGAUGGCAAGGACUCUGCAGCGGGGGGCAUGCAGCAGCAUCACCUGCCAGGCUGUGAGGGUGAAUCGGGGGGCGGCCCUUUGCCUGAAGGUGACCUGCCUGGACAGUUCACAAGGGUGAUGGGGAAAGUGUGCACACAACUUUUAGUUUCCCGACCUGAUGAAGAGAAUAUAAGCUCCUAUUUACAGCUUAUAGACAAAUGUCUAAUACACGAGGCGUUUACAGAGAUACAGAAGAAACGGCUGUUGUCAUGGAAACAGCAGGUGCAAAAACUCUUUAGGUCUUUCCCUCGGAAAUCCCUCCUGGAGCUGUCAGGCUAUCGGCAGCAGCGGAGCCGAGGCUUUGGGCAGUCCAACUCCUUACCGACAGCCGGAUCCGCCGGGGCAGGGCUGGGCAGACGAAACCCCCGCCAGUUCCAGAUCCCCUCCCGCAACCUCCCCACUGCCCGCCUGGGGCUGCUGGGUCCCAGUGGGCUGCUGGGCACCCCACAGCGCAGCCCUGCUACCAGCCCUGCCAUCCUCAAGCAAGGCAGACAGAACCUCUGGUUUGCCAACCCUGGGGGCAGUAACAGCAUGCCCAGCAGGAGCCACAGCUCAGUGCAGAGGACGCGCUCGCUGCCGGUGCACACCUCCCCGCAGACCAUGCUGAUGUUCCAGCAGCCAGAGUUCCAGGUGCCGGUGACUGAACCUGACAUCAACAACAGGCUGGAGUCCCUGUGCCUGAGCAUGACGGAGCACGCGCUCAGCGGUGAGCACUCCCUCCUCCUUGGGCUCUUCCAGCACGUCCAGGCGGCCUCAGCCAAGCCCCCCAGGGGCUGCCCCACGCCCCCCAAAGGCUGGGACCAGCUUUGGCUGUGAGAGAUGUGACAGGGUGGGAUGGUUGCUGCUCCCAUGGAGGGGUCUCAGCCAGCUCUGUCGAGACAGAGGGGUAAAACUAAACGCAGGGAUUGCGCCUGGCGCUGGCACAGCCUGUGCUUUUAGCCACUAGUUAGCUUGCUAAUCAUCAUUAGUGUUAGCUCACUAGUCUGCUGUUAAUUAAUGACAAAGCCACCCAAGCUCUCGAAUGGUGCACAGGCUUCAGAGCGCUCUACCCCUCUGCCAGCCCAAGCCCUGCUUUGCUGGGGGACACGGGGACCCCCAGGGCUGCAGCCAUCCCUUUGGGGUCGUGGCGAUGCUGGCAGCCUGGGUGGUGACAAGGAGCAGGGAGGGAGGAGGAGGGCCAGGCUGCAAGCAGUGCAAGAGGGGAGCCCAGGGAGGCACCGGACACGCCGUGACGCAGCGGACCCGGAUGGCGUGGGGACGCCAGGAUGGGACGAGCCGAGCAGCCCGCAUCGUCCAGAGCCUCCUGAAUACACGGCCCCAAAAGCCACAGACUGUCGGAUGGUGGAGGAUGGGAACCCACGGGGAGGACACGGCUCCCUGCAGCGAUGGCACUGCCCAGGGACAGGGACGUGGGAGCGAGGACUGGACGUGGCAGCAGGGUGCUGGCCGUGGGCACAAGGACACUGCUGUCACCGACGCGUUCCUGCGGCGCGCGCCCAGGCGAGGCUUAGCUGUGUUGUUCCUGUGCAGGACGGUGUCGACCGGACCUCCACCAUCUAGAGGAGGAGGACAGCCUGAUGGCGGCGGUGCUGAUGAGAGAAGAACUGCUGCAGGUCCAGCGGAGAGGUCCAGGCACGGGAGCCUCAGCGACAGCUUGCAUCCUUUCUGUCUUUCUCUCUCUUCCUCUCUUUUCUCCUGUUUUAAUUUGGUGAACGUGUAGAUUGUCCUUGUGAACAUACCAUUAGACUUGGAAUUUGUGUUGUCCUUUCUUACAUCCGUGCUAAAAAAGAAAAGGGGGGAGGGGGGGAAGAGAAGAGGGGAGGGAUGGCAAAGAAAGAAACAACGCUGAGAAAAACAAACUGCAAAAAAUGCCUGGGGUGGGUGGGGGGUGCGGCAGAAAAGUGCUGACUUUGUGGUUUCUCCAUGGGCAGUGAAUGUCACCUGUGUGUGACCAAAGCCCUUAGGGGAGGAUUUGCCAUAGGGGACCCCGCGGGCGCUGCCAGCUGCCCCGUCCUUGUCCUCAUCCCAUGGGGGCCGGGCUGUAGCCUAUGCAAAAAAAAAAAAAAAUGCCCUUGGGACCGGUGGCUGAAUUAUAAAAACCAAAAUCAAACACACGCAUUAAAAAAAAAAAAAAGCAGAAACAAACCUGCCUUUCUGUUUUGCAAAGAGCACCCGACACAGAGAUCCGUCUGUCGGUGCGGUGUUGCGGGGUGCCCGUCCUGCUGUUGGGUUGUGUCCGUCUGUCCGGCCGCCCUUGUGGCAAUGGACAGUGAGGGGCUGGGGAUGUCGGUGAGGGGUGAUGCAGUGAGUGAUGGGUGUCCGUGUCUCUGUUUUGUGUGUGUGUUAGCAGAAAAGUGCUGCAUCCUGGGUUUGCACAUCUGCCCAGCCUGCCCAAACCAUCGCUGAGUCGAGGCAUCGCUGAACGGUUGGGUUGGAAGGGGCCAUAAAGAUCUUCUGGUUCCACCCCUGCUGUGGGCUGGGUGCCCCCCAGCUCAGUCUGCCCAGGGCCCAAUCAUAGCCUAAGCACCUGCAGGGAUGGGGCACCCACAGCUCUGAGCAGUGCCACGGCCUCACCAUCCUCUCUAGGUAAAGAAUUUCCUACUAAAAGCCCCUUAAAAUGGGGUUUCCCCAGCCCUGCAAUGGGGUAAUCCUGGCCACCAAGUGGGAGGACAUUCUGAAAGAGCAGAACCAACCAAGUGAGAGCAGGCACCAAAACUCAGCCUUGUUAUGGGGCAUAAAAAACAUCAGGAAGGGGACGUGAAUGAUGGUCACCCCUAAUGGGCUUAGUGGAGGAAAUGAGUAACACCUAAAGAAAUCUGGAUGCUCAGAGCAGGAAGUGAAUGGUCGUGAUGCCCCUCUGGAUGUGUUUUGCUGUAAGCACUGCAGUCAGUCCCUACUGAUAGAAGGGCGUGUGAGCAAUGAGAUUCAGUCCCUACUCAUAUAUGAAGCUGUUGGGUUCCCAACACUGGCUCACCCCAUAGCACCAAAGGGCAGCUCCAGUUGGGGUUUGACCAGCAGUGCUGCUCUUCCAGGGACUGAGCAGGGCUGGCUGUGCAGCUCUCGGCAGAUGUGCAAAUCCAUUGGCGAUGCAGCACUUUUAAGUAGUUUCAUAUGCAUCUAUAUAUAUAUAUGUGUGUGUGCAUAUAUAUAUAUAUA